UUCAGUAUGAUAUUGGCUGUGGGUUUGUCAUAGAUAGCUCUUAUUAUUUUGAGAUACAUCCCAUCAAUACUUAAUUUAUUGAGAGUUUUUAGCAUGAAGGGUUGUUGAAUUUUAUCAAAGGCCUUUUCUGCAUCUAUUGAGAUAAUCAUGUGGUGUUUGUCUUUGGUUCUGUUUAUAUGCUGGAUUAUGUUUAUUGAUUUGUGUAUAUUGAACCAGCCUUGCAUCCCAGGGAUGAAGCCCACUUGAUCAUGGUGGAUAAGCUUUUUGAUAUGCUGCUGGAUUCGAUUUGCCAGUAUUUUAUUGAGGAUUUUUGCAUCAAUGUUCAUCAAGGAUAUUGGUCUAAAAUUCUCUUUUUUGGUUGUGUCUCUGCUCGGCUUUGGUAUCAGGAUGAUGCUGGCCUCAUAAAAUGAGUUAGGGAGGAUUCCCUCUUUUUCUAUUGAUUGGAAUAGUUUCAGAAGGAAUGGUACCAGUUCCUCCUUGUACCUCUGGCAGAAUUCGGCUGUGAAUCCAUCUGGUCCUGGACUCUCUUUGGUUGGUAAGCUAUUGAUUAUUGCCACAAUUUCAGAGUCUGUUACUGGUCUAUUCAGAGAGUCAACUUCUUCCUGGUUUAAUCUUGGGAGGGUGUUAUGUGUCGAGGAAUUUAUCCAUUUCUUCUAGAUUUUCUAGUUUAUUUGCGUAGAGGUGUUUGUAGUAUUCUCUGAUGGUAGUUUGUAUUUCUGUGUGAUCGGUGGUGAUAUCCCCUUUAUCAUUUUUUAUUGCAUCUAUUUGAUUCUUCUCUCUUUUCUUCUUUAUUAGUCUUGCUAGCGGUCUAUCUAUUUUGUUGAUUCUCUCAAAAAACCAGCUCCUGGAUUCACUAAUUUUUUGAAGGGUUUUUUGUGUCUCUAUUUCCUUCAGUUCUGCUCUGAUUUUAGUUAUUUCUUGCCUUCUGCUAGCUUUUGAAUGUGUUUGCUCUUGCUUUUCUAGUUCUUUUAAUUGUGAUGUUCAAUUUUGCAUCUUUCCUGCUUUGUCUUGUGGGCAUUUAGUGCUAUAAAUUUCCCUCUACACACUGCUUUGAAUGUGUCCCAGAGAUUCUGGUAUGUUGUGUCUUUGUUCUCGUUGGUUUCAAAGAACAUCUUUAUUUCUGCCUUCAUUUCGUUAUGUACCCAGUAGUCACUCAGGAGCAGGUUGUUCAGUUUCCUUGUAGUUGAGUGGUUUUGAGUGAGUUUCUUAAUCCUGAGUUCUAGUUUGAUUGCACUGUGGUCUGAGAGACAGUUUGUUAUAAUUUCUGUUCUUUUACAUUUGCUGAGGAGUGCUUUACUUCCAAGUAUGUGGUCAGUUUUGGAAUAGGUGUGGUGUGGUGCUGAAAAGAAUGUAUAUUCUGUUGAUUUGGGGUGGAGAGUUCUUUAGAUGUCUAUUAGGUCCACUUGGUGCAGAGCUGACUUCAAUUCCUGGGUAUACUUGUUAACUUUCUGUCUCGUUGAUCUGUCUAUUGUUGACAGGGGAGUGUUAAAGUCUCCCUUUAUUAUUGUGUGGGAGUCUAAGUCUCUUUGUAGGUCACUCAGGACUUGCUUUAUGAAUCUGCAUGCUCCUGUAUUGGGUGCAUAUAUAUUUAGGAUAGUUAGCUCUUCUUGUUGAAUUGAUCCCUUUACCAUUAUGUAAUGGGCUUCUUUGUCUCUUUUUAUCUUUGUUGGUUUAAAGUCUGUUUUAUCAGAGACUAGGAUUGCAACCCCUGCCUUUUUUUGUUUUCCAUUUACUUGGUAGAUCUUCCUCCAUCCUUUUAUUUUGAGCCUAUGUGUGUCUCUGCACAUGAGAUGGGUUUGCUGAAUACAGCCCACUGAUGGGUCUUGACUCUUUGUCCAGUUUGCCCGUCUGUGUCUUUUAAUUGGAGCAUUUAAUCCAUUUACAUUUAAAGUUAAUAUCAUUAUGUGUGAAUUUGAUCCUAUCAUUUUGAUGUUAUCUGGUUAUUUUACUCGUUAGUUGAUGCAGUUUCUUCCUAGCCUCGAUGGUCUUUACAAUUUGGCAUGUUUUUGCAGUGGCUGAUACCGGUUGUUCCUUUCCAUGUUUAAUGCUUCCUUCAGGAGCUCUUUUAGGGCAGGCCUGGUGGUGACAAAAUCUCUCAGCAUUUGCUUGUCUGUAAAGUAUUUUAUUUCUCCUUCACUUAUGAAGCUUAGUUUGGCUGGAUAUGAAAUUCUGGAUUGAAAAUUCUUUUCUUUAAGAAUGUUGAAUAUUGGCCCCCACUCUCUUCUGGCUUGUAGAGUUUCUGCUGAGCGAUCCGCUGUUAGUUUGAUGGGCUUCCCUUUGUGGGUAACCUGACCUUUCUCUCUGGCUGCCCUUAACAUUUUUGCCUUUAUUUAAACUUUGGUGAAUCUGACAAUUAUGUGUCUUGGAGUUGCUCUUCUCGAGGAGUAUCUUUGUGGCGUUUCUGUAUUUCCUGAAUCUGAAUGUUGGCCUCCGUUGCUAGAUUGGGGAAGUUCUCCUGGAUAAUAUCCUGCAGAGUGUUUUCCAACUUGGUUCCAUUCUCCCCGUCACUUUCAGGUACACCAAUCAGAUGUAGAUUCGGUCUUUUCACAUAGUCCCACAUUUCUUGGAGGCUUUGUUCAUUUCUUUUUGUUCUUUUUUCUCUAAACUUCCCUUCUCGCUUCAUUUCAUUCAUUUCAUCUUCCAUCACUGAUACCCUUUUUUCCAGUUGAUCACAUCAGCUCCUGAGGCUUCUGCAUUCUUCAUGUAGUUCUCGAGCCUUGGCUUUCAGCUCCAUCAGCUCCUUUAAGCAGUUCUCUGUAUUGGGUAUUCUAGUUAUACAUUUGUCUAAAUUUUUUUCAAAGUUUUCAACCUCUUUGCCUUUGGUUUGAAUUUCCUCCUGUAGCUCGGAGUAGUUUGAUCGUCUGAAGCCUUCUUCUCUCAACUCAUCAAAGUCAUUCUCCGUCCAGCUUUGUUGUGUUGCUGGUGAGGAGCUGUGUUCUUUGGAGGAGGAGAGGCGCUCUGCUUUUUAGAGUUUCCAGUUUUUCUGCUCUGUUUUUUCCCCAUCUUUGUGGUUUUAUCUACUUUUGGUCUUUGAUGAUGGUGAUGUAUAGAUGAGUUUUUGGUGUGGAUGUCCUUUCUGUUUGUUAGUUUUCCUUCUAACAGACAGGACCCUCAGCUGCAGGUCUAUUGGAGUUUGCUAGAGGUCCACUCCAGACGCUGUUUGCCUGGGUAUCAGCAGUGAUGGGUGCAUAACAGUGGGUUUUCUUGAACCGUGAAUGCUGCUGUCUGAUCAUUCCUCUGGAAGUUUUGUGUCAGAGGAGUACCUGGCCAUGUGAGGUGUCAGUCCGCCCCUACUGAGGGGUGCCUCCCAGUUAGGCUGCUCAUUGGUCAGGGGUCAGGGACCCACUUGAGGAGGCAGUCUGCCCAUUCUCAGAUCUCCAGCUGUGUGCUGGGAGAACCACUGCUCUCUUCAAAGCUGUCAGAGAGGGACAUUUAAGUCUGCAGAGGUCACUGCUGUCUUUUUGUUUGUCUGUGCCCUGCCCCCAGAGGUGGAGCCUACAGAGGCAGGCAGGCCUCCUUGAGCUGUGGUGGGCUCCACCCAGUUCGAGCUUCCCAGCUGCUUUGUUUACCUAAGCAAGCCUGGGCAAUGGCGGGUGCCCCUCCCCCAGCCUGGCUGCCACCUUGCAGUUUGAUCUCAGACUGCUGUGCUAGCAAUCAGUGAGACUCUGUGGGCGUAGGACCCUCCGAGCCAAGUGCGGGAUAUAAUCUCCUAGUGCACCGUUUUUUAAGCCCGUCGGAAAAGCGCAGUAUUGGGGUGGGAGUGACCCGAUUUUCCAGGUGCCGUCUGUCACCCCUUUCUUUGACUAGGAAAGGGAACUCCCUGACCCCUUGCACUUCCCAAGUGAGGCAAUGCCUCGCCCUGCUUUGGCUCACGCAUGGUGCGCUGCACCCACUGUCCUGCACCCACUGUCUGGCACUCCCUAGUGAGAUGAACCCGGUACCUCAGAUGGAAAUGCAGAAAUCACCCAUCUUCUGCAUCGCUCACGCUGGAAACUGUAGACCGGAGCUGUUCCUAUUCGGCCAUCUUGGCUCCAGCCUCCCAAUUCAGAAUUUCAUAUACAGCAAAACUAAGCUUCAAAAGUGAAGGAGAAACCCCAUCUCUACUAAAAAAUACAAAAAAAAAAAAAAAAAAAAAAAAAACAAAGAAGGCCAUUGCUAAUGGUAAAGGGAUCAAUGCAACAAGAAGAGUUAACUAUCUUAAAUAUAUAUGCACCCAAUAAAGGAGCACCGAGAUUCAUAAAGGAAGUUCUUAGAGACCUACAAAGAGAAUUAGACUCCCACACAAUAAUAGUGGAAGACUUGAACACCCCAUUGUCAAUAUUAGAUCAAUGAGACACAAAGCUAACAAAGAUAUUCAGGACUUGAAUUCAGCUCCGGACCAAGUGGACCUAAUAUACAUCUACACAAUUCUCCACCCAAAUCAACAUAAUAUACAUUCUUCUCAGCACCACAUCGUACUCAUUCUAAAACUGACCACAUAAUUGGAAGUAAAACACUCCUCAGUAAAUGCAAAAUAAUGGAAAAAUAAGAAACAUUCUCUCAGACCACAGUGCAAUCAAAUUAGAACUCAGUAUUAAGAAACUCACUCAAAAUGCACAUCUAUAUGGAAACUGAAAAACCUACUCCUGAAUGAUUUCUGGGUAAAUAAGGACAUAAUGGCAGAAAUAAUAAGUUCUUUAAAACGAAUAAGAACAACGACACAACAUACCAGAAUCUCUGGGGCACAGCUAAAACAGUGUUUACAGGGAAAUGUAUAGCACUUAAUGUCCACAGGUGAAAGUGGGAAAGAUCUAAAGUUGACACCCUGAUAUCACAAUUAAAAGAACUAGAGAACCAAGAGCAAACAAAUUCAAAAGCUAGCAGAAGAUAAGAAAUAAGAUCAGAGAAGAACUGAAUGAGAGAGAGACAUGAAAAACCCUUCAAAAAAAUGAAUGACUCCAGGAACUGGAUUAUUGAAAAGAUCAGCAAAAUAGACAGAAGGCUGGCCAGACUAAUAAAGAAGAAAAAAGAGAAGAAUCAAACAGACACAAUAAAAAAUGAUAAAGUGGAUGUCACCACUGAUCUCACAGAAAUACAAAUACCAUCAGAGAAUACUAUAAACACCUCUAUGCAAAUAAACUAGAAAAUGUAGAAGAAAUGGAUAAAUUCCUGGACACAGACACCUUCCCAAGACUAAAUCACAAAGAAGUCGAAUCCCUGAAUAGACCAAUAAUAAGUUCUGAAAUUGAGGCAGCAAUUAAUAGCCUACCAAUAAAAAAAAAGCCCAGGACCAGACUGAUUCACAGCUGAAUUCUACCAGAGGUACAAAGAGGAGCUGGUACCAUUACCUCUGAAACGAUUCCAAACAAUAGAAAAAGAGGGACUCCUCCAUAACUCAUUUUAUGAGUCCAGCAUCAUCCUGAUACCAAAACCUGGCAGAGGCACAACAAAAAAAGAAAAUUUCAGGCCAAUAUCCUAAAUAAACUGCUAAAUCGAAUCCAGCAGCACAUCAAAAAGCUUAUCUGCCAUGAUCAAGUUGCCUUCAAUAUAUGCAAAUCAAGUAUGUUAAACAUAAAAACAUACCAUAAAAACAUAUGCGAAUCAAUGUAAUCCAUCACAGAAACAGAAACAAUGACAAAAACCACGUGAUUAUCUCAAUAGAUACAGAAAAGGCCUUUGAUAAAAUUCAGCACCCCUUCUUGUUAAAAACUCUCAAUGAACUAGGUAUUGAUGGGAUGUAUCUCAAAAUAAUAAGAGCUAUUAAUGACAAACCCACAGCCAAUAUCAUACUGAAUGGGAAAAAGCUGGAAUCAUUCCCUUUGAAAACCAGCAAAAGGCAAGGAUGCCCUCUCUUACCACUCCUAUUCAACAUAGUGUUGGAAGUUCUGGCCAGGGCAAUCAGGCAAGAGAAAGAAAUAAAGGGUAUUCAAAUAGGAAGAGAGGAAGUCCAAUUGUCUCUGUUUGCAGAUGACAUGAUUGUAUAUUUAGAAAACCCCAUCAUCUCAGCCCAAAAUUUCCUUAAGCUGAUAAGCAACUUCAGCACAGUGUCGGGAUACAAAAUCAAUGUGCAAAAAUCAUAAGCAUUCCUAUGUACCAAUAAUAGACAAACAGAGAGCCAAAUCAUGAGUGAACUCCCAUUCACAAUUGCUACAAAGAGAAUCAAAUACCUAGGAAUAAAACUUACAAGAAAUGUGAAGGCCCUCUUUAAGGAGAACUACAAACCACUGCUCAGAGAAAUAAGAGAGGACAUAAACAAAUGGAAAAACAUUCCAUGCUCAUGGAUAGGAAGAAUCAAUAUAGUAAAAAUGAGUAUACUGCCCAAAGUAAUUUAUAGAUUCAAUGCUAUCCCCAUCAAGCUACCAUUGACUUUCUUCACAGAAUUAGAAAAAACUACUUUAAAUUUCAUAUGGAACCAUAAAGAGCCUGCAUAGCCAAGACAAUCCUAAGCAAAAAGAAUAAACCUGGAGGGAUCCUGCCACCUGACUUCAAAUUAUACUACAAGGCUACAGUAAUGAAAACAGCAUGGUACUGGUACCAAAACAGAUAUAUAGACCAAUGGAACAGAACAGAGGCCUCAGAAAUAAUGCCACAUAUCUACAACCAUCUGAUCUUUGAAAACGUGACAAAAACAAGAAAUGGGGAAAUGAUUUCCUAUUUAAUAAGUGGUGUUGGAAAAACUGGCUAGCCAUAUGCAGAAAACUGAAACUGGACCCCUUCCUUAUACCUUAUACAAAAAUUAACUCAAGAUGGAUUAAAGACUUAAAAGUAAGACCUAAAACCAUAAAAACCCUAGAAGAAAACCUCGGCAAUACAAUUCAGGACAUAAGUCUGGGCAAAGACUGCAUGACUAAAACCCCAAAAGCAAUGGCAACAAAAACCAAAAUAUAGAAUGGGAUCUAAUUAAACUAAAGAACUUCUGCACAAUAAAAGAAACUAUCAUCAGAGUGAACAGGCAACCUACAGAAUGGGAGAAAACUUUUGCGAUCUAUCCAUCUGACAUAGGGCUAAUAUCCAGAAUCUAUGGAACUUAAAUAAAAUUACAAGAAAAAAACAAAACCCCAUCAAAAAGUGAGCGAAGGAUAUGAACAGAUACUUCUCAAAAGAAGACAUUUAUGUGGCCAACAAACAUAUGAAAAAAAGCUCAUGAUCACACGGAUGAUUAGAGAAAUGCAAAUCAAAACCACAAUGAGAUACCAUCUCAUGCCAGUUAAAAUGGCGAUCAUUAAAAAGUCAGGAAACAACAGAUGCUGGAGAGGAUGUAGAGAAAUAGGAAUGCUUUUACACUGUUGGGGGGAGUGUAAAUUAGUUCGACCAUUGUGGAAGACAGUGUGGCGAUUCCUCAAGGAUCUAGAACCAGCAAUACCAUUUGACCCAGCAAUCCCAUUACAGGGCACAGGCCCAAAGGAUUAUAAAUCAUUCUACUAUAAAGACACAUGCACACAUAUGUUUACUGAAGCACUGUUCACAAUAGCAAACACUUGGAACCAACUCAAAUGCCCAUAAAUGAUAGAAUGUAUAAAGAAAAUGUGGCACAUAUACACCAUGGAAUACUCUGCAGCCAUAAAAAAAGGAUGAGUUCAUGUCCUUUACAGGGACAUGGAUGACACUGGAAACCAUCAUUCUCAGCAAACUAACACAGGAACAGAAAACCAAACACCUCAUGUUCUCACUCAUAUGUGGGAGUUGAACAAUGAGAACACAUGGACGCAGCAAGGGGAACAUCACACCACCGGGGCCUGUUGGGGGGUGGAGGAUGGGGAGGGAUAGCAUUAGAAGAAAUAUCUAAUGUAGAUGACUGGUUGAUGGGUCCAGUAAACCACCAUGGUACGUGUAUACCUAUGUAACAAACCUGCACAUUCUACACAUGUAUUCCAAACUUAAAGUAUAAUAAAAAAAAAUGAUGUUUGGCAAACUGUAUAUCCAAGUGCCAAAACAAAAAAUAAAAUUGGACCAUUAUACCAUACACAAAAUCAACUCAAAAUGGAUUGACUUAAAUGUAAAACUUGAAACCACAAAACCGUACAAGAAGGCAUAAGGAAAAUCUCCUUGAAAUUGGUCUUGGCAAUGAUAUUUUUGGAUAUGAUAACAAAAGGACAGACAACAAAAGCAAAAAUAAAGAGUUGAGGCUACACCCAACUCAAAAGCUUCUGUAUAGCAAACAAUCAACAAAAUGUAAAGACAAUAUUCGGAAUGAGGAAAAAAGAUUUGCAAACCAUAUAUUCAAUAAGGGGUUAAAUCCUAAAUAUAUAAGGGACUCAUACACCUUAAUACCGAAAUUACAAAUAGCAAUUUAAAAAUGGACAAAGGACCUCAAAAGAAGGAAUUCAAAAGGCCAACAGGAAUACGAAAAGUUGCUCAACGUCUCUAAUUAUCAGGGGAAAUGCAAAUCAAAACCACAAUGAGAUAUCACCUCCCACAUGUUAGAAUGGCUACUAUCAAAAAGACAAAAGGUAACAAGUGUUUUUCCAUAGCCGUUAUGGAAAUCAGUAUGAAGGUGACUUAAAAAAUUAAAAAUAGAACUAUCAUAUGAUCCAACAAUUUCACUUCUGGGUAUAUAUUCAAAGGAAUUGAAAUAAGAAUUGCAAAGAGGUAUCUAUAUUACUAUGUUCAUUACAGUAUUACUCACAAUAGCCAAGAUAUGGAGUCAACCUAAGUGUCCACCAAUGGAUGAAUGGAAAAUAAAAUGUAGUAUAUAUAUACACAAAGGAAUACUAUUCUGCCUUAAUAAAAGAAGGAAAUCCUGCCAUUUGUGACUACAUGGAUGGAGUUUUAUGGCAUCUUGCUAAGCAAAAUAAGCAAGACACAGAAAAAUACUUCAUGAUCUCACUCAUAUGAGAAUCUCAAAUAGUCAAACUCAUAGAAGUAGAAGUAGGAUGGUGGUUGCCAGGGAUUGAGGGGAGAAAGAAAUGGGGUGAUAUUGAUCAAAGGGUACAAAGUUUAAGCUAUGAAAGAUGAAUAACUUCUGGACAUCUAAUGUACAACAUGGUGAUGAUAGUUAAUAAACUGUGUUGUAUAAUUAAUAUUUGCUAAGAAGACAGGUCUUAAAUCUUCUCAACAGACACAAACACAAAUGGUAACUAUGUAGAGGUGAUGGAUAUGUUAAUUAGCUUGAUUGACAUCAUUUUAUAGUGUAUACAUAUAUCAAAACGUCAAGUUAUGCCUUAAUUACAUAAAAUUUUUUAUGUCAAUGAUACCUCAAUAAAGCUACUAAGGAGAUUUUCAAGAAAGUGCAUUUUGCUAUAUUUGUAGAUGACCUUCAUGAAAGUACUGGACAUGAGAGUGAGAUAAAUCAGGAUUUCUGAACUCAAGGAGCUUACCCUGACUAUUGAUGGUGGGACAGACAAGUCAACAAUUACAGUACAAUAUCUAUUGAUUGACUCAUGUUUAGCAUAUUGUGUGUAGGCUCUUCUAGGGAAGGGUCAUUUCUUCAUUUUUAUAUCCAUGGCAUCACAAACUGGACAUAUCUUUAUUAUAGCACUUAGCAAACUGAAUUAUCAGUGACUAUCUUACCUGUUUUUACUGGUCAGUGAUUUGGGGCCUUGUUUACCUCUGCAUCCCAUGGCCUAGUUGUUAAAUCUGCAUCCCUAGUGCAGAUUGCUAUUCUAGUUGUUUAACUGUGCAUCCCAUGGCCUAGUUGUUCAAUCAAAUUUUGUUGAAUGACUGCAUGAAAGAAAAAACACAUCGAAGGGCCAGCAAAAGCAAUACAAAGCCUAUUUCUAUUUGGAUAUAGGAGAUGAGAAGUCUAACAGGGUUGUUGCUAUCAGCAAGUCUACCUGUAUUUGCAGCCAAGAGACAUAAAAAUGAAAAGGAUGAGAGAAACAUCUUGGUUGUACCCACAGUACUCAAGAAGAAAGAAAUAGUUCCUCAGUUCAGAGUUAAUGUUUCCAUAAUGAAAUCUGAUUUUCAAAUGGAUACUCUUAAAUUUUUUUAAAUAAGAAGUUUUCUAAUAUAAUGGCCUGCCUUUUUGUUUAUUACUUGGUUAACUAACUAAUAUACAUGGAGCUCAGGUGACUAAGACCAGCUCCUAAACUGCUACUGCAAGGGGUGAUAAGUAUAAUGUUAGAAAGUGGAUUGAGGUAGCAAUUGCCUGCAAUGGUUUUGAGCACCUUAUAUUUCAAUGGAGUUUAAACCUCUUUUAUUAAAUGCAAAUUUCUUGGUUCCAAAGAUGAGCCUUAAAUAUUUUCUUUCCCAAUGCCUUAUCUUUUGUCAUUCACAAACAGUUCAUUUUUGACUCAAAGAUUGAAUAAUUCUCUAUCUUCUAGCUUUCAAAUGCAACCAACUUAAUCUAGAAACUAUGGUUAGCUGUCUUAAUUAAGAGUUAAUAUGAUAAGUAGGGUAUUUAUGUGAAUAUUCAAACAAAAUCAUCUCAGUGAAAUGCAGCAUUGUUUAAGUUAUAUCUUAAAUCUUGGUAUGUUGCAUUCAAGCUGAGGAGCCUGAUGGAGGAUAACAUAUUCUCCUCUAAUUUGUAUAGUAUAUGAAAGUUUACAGGUUUUUUUGUGGAGUGGGAAGAUGGUUUUUUUUUUUUUCCUCUUCUUCUGACCUUAGUAUAUUUUUUAAAGGUCUUAAACCAAGGGAAUUAAACUAAUAUUUAUUAAGGACUGCCAUCUGUACUCGGUAAUUUACAUCUUUUUUUUAUUUGAUUUUCACAACAUAUCUGUGUAGUAGGGGGUAGGUAUGUGUAAUCUCAGUUUUACAGACUAGGAAACUGAGAAAUUAAACUGCUGUGAUUAGCCAGUGAUAAACACAACCAGUAAAUGAGAAAGCUUGGACUUGAAGGUAAACCCAACUCUGCCUCUCAACUGGAUAAGUGGUUAAAAAACUCAGUUUGUUAUAGUUCAUAUGUUUUUAAAUGGUGGAGCUGGUAUCUCUUCAGAAAGAACUUCAGUGGAUAAAAUAAGUGAACUUACCUUUACGCAUUAAAACCUAUAGCAAAUUUCCAACAUCUGAGCACUAAAAACAAAGAGAUUAUCUCAUGAACUAAGGAAGAAAUUGGCGGAAGUGUAUGAAAGGCACAUCAAUGCAGAAUUAUUUUAACUGACCUGAGAGUUCAUGGGCACCGGAGUUAUGUAUGGGAUAGUUCUAGGUAAAGACUUAGGAUGCACUUCCUCUGGAACCCCAAUCACCUCUUUAGCUGAGUAACCACACGUUUAAGCAUCACUACAUUUCUGUUUCAGUAAAAAUUUAAAGAAGUUUAGCUUUUUUUGGUAUAUCAUAGAAUUCAGAAGGAAGGUGAGGAAAAAACUCUUAAUGAAAGACAGUGUCUUUGAACAGCUGCCAUAGAAUUGAGAAUAAGUGUAUCUUGUUAGAGACUUUCAUUGAUCAAUGAAAAUAACUCUUCACUAAUUUACUGAUUUCUUUUUUUUUAAAGGUAAAAUUAGUUAUAUAAGCAGACAAAGGUUGGAGAAGGAUUUAUUUAUAUAUAUUUUAAAUUUUAUAUACCAAAUGUAUAUUUGAAAUACAUAUGAUUUAUUUAUGUUUGUUAUAUAAGUGUAUUUAUACUUUACAUAUUUAUUAUAUUAUAUAUGUAUUUCUAUUACCAAAAGACUGACAGCAACAUUGUAUCAUAGAAAAAGCACUGCCUUUCAACCUUCUGAACCUCAUCUUUGUCUACCUAUGAAAUAGGAUAAUAAAUGUCCUCCAUUCUUCAGAUAAGUGUUAUGAUUAAAUGGGAAAAUAUGUAUGGACAUUCUUUGUCAUAUAUUAGGCCUUAUCAUAAUACCUUGCUUUUAUGAAUGAUCUGGUAAACAGUAUUUGUAGUUUGAAAAAUAUUCCAUUUGGCAUAAUGGCAGUAUUGUUGGUUCUACAGUUGAACAGACCCUGGAUUUCAUUCUCUAAAUUUGUCACCUCUGUAUUCUUUAACUUUUAUGGAAACAUGCUUUCUCACUGGUAGAAUGGAAGAUAUUUUCAUAGAGUUGUUGUAAUUGUUUAAAGAGCUAAUGUACAUGGAGUACCUAGUACAAUGCAUGGUGUUCAUUAAAUGGUCAUUGUGAUGACUAAAAUUCAAAGUCAGUAGAGAUAGUACUUGGGAAGAUGUUGAGGAUUUGAUCAGAGAAAAAAAUGGGCUAUUUGAAUAUGUAUAGAAAAAUAUAAGAAUUAUUUUAAGACAUAGGACCAAAUUACUGUGUUCAGAUAUUUUGAUAUGGCUCUUAAAUUUACUAGUUAUUUAAUUUAUGUAGGCUGUGUGAGAUAAUAAAAACAGCACUAUAUAUGUGGGCUUAGAGUCUGUAAUGUGGGAAUACCUAGAGAUCUCAAACCUUAAUUUUACUGUCCAUGGAAUGGGAAUAAUACCCACCUAGGAUGGUUACUAUGAAGACUGCAUGAGGUAAAAGAUGCAAAGUGACUAGACUGUACCUGAUAAAUAGUAGAUGCAUAAAGAUAAUUUUGUACCUUUUUCCCUGUCAUUAGUUUCAUUGUUUUGUGCACAAAUCCAUCCAGGCAUAGACAGCUGCCUUAGUGUCAUUAUUUCAGUUUUUAAAAACAUUCUAUUAACCUUUUAUACCUUGUGCAUAUUGGUAAGGAAGUUCUAUGUAGGUUUUACAUGUGAAGCUAAACACGAGUUCAGUUAGAGAAUAUUAUCCAUUUAUAUGUUAUACAGUUAAGGUAGUAUUUUUAAAACAAAAAUAAAUUUAGUUUGAGAGUAUGUUCUCUAAAACCAGUUUCAAUCCUAGGAAGUUUUUUCUGGAUUUUUUUUUUAAUUUAGCACACUUACGUUUUAUAAAAUUAACCAUAUUUUUCCAAUUUGGAGAAUGUUAGAGGUAGAAGUUAAUCACCCUAGUUCAGCAGAAGUGACCCUACAGGAGCUCAGCCAGAUGAAUGUUUCCAUAGCUCUUAGGAAUGUUCAAUGUGAUUUCACCUUUUUCAGAAGAUUAUAACAUAUGAUUACAUAUGUACAUACAGAUAGAUACACACACACACACACACACAUAUAUUUUUAUUUUUAAGUAGACCCAUCUCAAGUGCUUAAAAGAAUGCCUAGCACAUGAUAAUGAUAUGGGAUGGGGGCACAGAAGUGCUGGGUAGAGAAGGGUGGGGUCCCUGGCAAGGGCUCCACCCUUGGACCUGUGCCCACAUACCUAGGUGAGGACAGGCACUCCUGUUUUUGCGCCCAAAUGUCGCAUUUUCCAAGACCACCCUGGCCCCCCACGUACCCCAUUCUGUGACUAUAAAAACCCCGAGACCUGGCCGGGCACGGUGGCUCAUGCCUGUAAUCCCAGCACUUUGGAAGGCUGAGACAGGUGGAUCACGAGGUCAGGAGAUCGAGACCAUCCUGGCUAACACGGUGAAACCCCGUCUCUACUAAAAAUACAAAAAAUUAGCCAAGCGUGGUGGCGGGCACCUGUGGUCCCAGCUACUCGGGAGGCUGAGGCAGGAGAAUGGCGUGAACCCGGGAGGCGGAACUUGCAGUGAGCGGAGAUCGUGUCACUGCCUGGGCCACAGAGCGAGACUCCAUCUCAAAAAAAAAAAAAAAAAAAAAAAAAACCCAGACCCUAGUGGUCACAGACUCGAGCGCUGGACGUCGAGAGGAACACGCUGCAGAAGAACACACACAGGCGGCUGGAUAUCAAGAGGAGCAGAGUAGCGGAAGUGCACACUGAUAAGGAGGAACAGACGCCUGUAGACCAGCACUGUUCACAGGAGCAAAGUCUUGGAACCAACCCAAAUGCCCAUCAAUGAUAGACUGGAUACAGAAAUGUGGAAUGCACCAUAUGUCCUCAUCUGAAAGUCUCUGCAGGAUGGUCUGACUCACGUGAGUGGUUUUGAGAUAAGUUGUGUUAUACCUGAAGUUAGGUAAAGUCGAGAGAUGAACUAACUUAAAAAGUAGUGAUGUUUACAUAGAAUCUAAAUUGGAAAAGACAAUAAUAUCAGCAUUAGAAAGUUUGCCUUUAAGUAAAAAAAAUUAUUAGCCAUAAUAGGUUUUACAUUCUUCAUAAUAGAAUAUCCUAAAGCAAUAAAACCUCCACUAUGUGAACUCUAAGUUCUGAACAUCCGAAUUUUUCAAAUAGUUCUGAGUUAUAUUUAAUUUGUUCUUUACUGACUAGAACACUUCCUAAUUUAUCACAUCAUUUUAACCUCCUCAAACAUACUGAAUAUAUUUUUUCCAGGUUUAUUGAGGUAUAAUUGACAAACAAAAAUUGUGUAUGUAAGGUGUACAAUGUGAUGUUUUGAUAUGUGAAUACAUUCGAUGAUUCUGGCUUCCCAAUAUGAAGAUCACUUAUUGUGUCAGCCAGCAUAAAACGUAGGACUGUUGAGAUAGAGUAGAAUCAUUUAUGUCUGCAUUGACUGCCUCCAUGCUAAUAUGUCUCAAUUUUGUUUUGUUUUUAGAAUUUAUAUUUUCACAUUUGCUGCAUAUGAUGCAGAGUAGGCUUAGGGACCAGGUUACCAAUUUGAUAUGAUUGCAUAAAACAAGAAUGAAAAUGUUCUGUGUCAGGGCCUUUUAAGUAUUGGUGUUAUGUCAUCAGCUUUGACUAUUAUAAGAAUUUUGUGCUUGCUUCCUGCUCCAUUUAGAUGCAUGAACUUGGUGCAUUUAAAGAGUAUGUCAGUGUAGAUGUCAACAGUCUAUCUCCCCAAAUCCAAUUUAAUAUGUAAGGAUAAAAUUACAUUGAUUAAAUGUUCUAAUUUUAUAUACAUUUUAAUAUAACAGAAACAUAAAAGCAUUUAGACUACAUUUAGAUUUCUUUAUAUGAUGAUUUACUAUAUCAUAUACCAUCCACUCCCAGAUAGAUUAGAAUGCACAUCUUUAACUAUAGUAUUGUACAAUUUAUGAUGCAAAAUUUAUCAUUGUACCAAUACAGACCUUAUGGUACAUUUUAUUUAAGUUCAUGGUGUUUUCUUUCUGAAAGGAAACUUUUCUUCAAUCACAACACAAAUGAAAGAGCUAAAAUAGAAAGCUUUGCAAAUUCAGUAUAGCCAUUUUAAAAUGGCUUAAUAAAUUAUUCUUUCAGUAACACUUGACUUAACUUCAAUAAAUACACACUGAAUUACAUCCUAUAGGUUAGUACAGUUGAUAAGCAUUUUUUUCUCUCCCCGAACUAAGACAUAAAAAUCCACACCCAGGAGACAAGCUUAGUAGGUCACAGAAAUACCCCCAUGUGUCUUGCAUGAGGAUGUUUGUUCAUGCAAAGAACAUUUAUUGAGCACUUAUGUACUAGGGACAGUGGUAGCUGCCAAGGAUAGGGGAUACAGAUUCAUCUAUCCCUGCUCUUGAGGAACUUAGAGUCCUAAAAAGAAAGACACAGAUAGGUGAGUUACAUUUCAAUAUGGAAAAUACUAUAAUAGGUAUAAACAAAUUUAAUCAUCACCUUUAGAGGCUGAGAAAUUUUUUUAAAAAAGGAAUAAAGUGAGGAGUGGUGGGUAGUGGGGAAAGAAAAAUGCUCCAUCCUGUUUCAAAGAAUAAGAGAAAUAUAUCUCCUCGACUCAAUGUUAUGAAUACUGGAGUUGUAGUCAUGAAACAUUUUUGAAUGCUGUUACUAUCCCAUCUUGAAAAAACACAAAACAUCCAGGCACAGAAUAUUGUUAAGUCAAAGGGAGGAUAUGAUUAAUUCUGCUAGAGAAAGGAAUGGUCCAGGGAAAAUUUUACAGGUACUUGAGGUGAGCCUUAAAGGAUCCAUGUGAUUUCAGUAGGCAGAGAUGUGCAAAGAAAUGGUGUAGGCCAAGGGAACAGCCAGAAUAAAGAUCAAAGAAGGCGUGGUAAUGAGGAUGACACUCUCCUGCCACAAUUAAUUGUUACGCCUUACAGCAGAGUAGCUGGUACUGUGUAAUGUAGUAAGAACCACGGACUUGGCCAAAUGAGCUUGGUUUGAGACCUGUCAGUAUUAUGCACCAACUGUGUAGGUUGGUGGCAAGGUGCCGAAUCAUUCUGUGCCUCCAUUUCUUUAUCUGAGAAAGGGAAAAUGAUGCCUAACCUGAGGGCUACCAUGUUGUGCAACUGUAGGACGCAUCAUUCACAUUGUACAGAGGCCCUAGCUAUCUCAGGUGGGCUGGGAGGAUUAAAUGAGACAAUACAUAUAAAGUAUUUAACACUGUGGCUGGCACAUAGUAAGUGCUCAAUAAACAUUCACUACUGUUAAUCAGGCAACUGUCAUUUUAAAAAAUGGAUUCACUUGAAAUCCCUUUUAUUUGUAAAGCCUUAUGUAUCUCUACCCUUGGAAAACAAUCUAUGUGUUCCUGAGAUUAAUUUGAGUAGAAUGCAAGAUAUAUUUUGCUUCAUUUACUGGGCUUCAAAAUUUGUUGUCCAGGAAAUAUAGAAAGACAAAAACAUACCAAAGAAAAACAAAACAACAAAUAAAUUAAAUCCCCCUAAAUCAUUUUGAAUGAACAUUUUUCUCCAAUGAUGGUUCAUUUUAUUCAUGCCAUUGCAUAGAAGUCCCAGAUAUAUUUAUGUUUAUUUGUAAAACACCCCUUCUGUUACCAUCUGAUGUUUCCAUAAGGAACAUUUUCCAUCACAGUUUUAUGUCCCUGAAACUUAAAGAUGUUUAUUUUUUCUUCCCCCUUUAUAUCCAGAAGCAAGGCUAUUUGGAAUGGAUUAGUUGAUUAGGACAUCUGACUCAGAAAAUGAGACAGCCAUGAAUUUGGCUGAGAAUUCAGAAACAUGGAUGGGGACAUUGAUUAUUACCAGUCUUCAAAUGUCAGCAAAGACUUCAGGGUUGCAGGAGGGAGAAAAUAAAACACAUAAAGUUUAAUGGCUUUGGCUCUGGGGGUCUUUGGGGCAGGUUGGAUGGAGUUAUUUGCUGAACACAUGAUAGUCUUUUUCUUACUUGUCCAGCUGGAUUGAUUGAAGCCGGUUUUCACUCUAUCUUGUAAAACAGAAAAUAGCCAUUAGCUACUCACCAGUAUAUAUGGAAAAUGCAGAGGGUUGUGCUUCAGUUAGGGUCUGUCUGCAGCAAUCUAGUCCUCAUAGCAUGGGAUUAUGGCAAGUACUACAAAUAGGCAAAGUCAAAGGAGCUUGCUUAGCCAUUUAACACCUAUCAUGGACUCUUAAACUGGAGUUUGGAUUGCAGGAUGCUUUUUAUGUAGUGACCUUGGAUCUAUACCAGUGGGAGGGAAGGACUGGGCAGAGGGGAUAAUUUUAGCUGCAAUGCAGGCCUGAUAGCAACCUUGCUCAAACUCACAGGGAGCGCUGGAGCUAAAAUGGCCCAUUGGAAUAAACUCAUGUUAGGCUGAAAUGGCCAUGUUUUUAUACUUAUUAUUCACUGGAUGUGGACUGCUCUUGGAAGGGUGGGACCUCUGGCAAGGUGGAUCUGUGGGUAAAGAAAUGCUGACAAUUGAGGGCUGCCUCCCCACAGAACUGCCAGCAGCUGGGGCAACAGACCUUUUCUUGAAGAGGAAUCUGGUGACACAUCACCCUGCCUUUGCCUCCCCAAGUUCUAUUAUAACAUAUAUGAUCCAAACCAGUUUGCAGAAACAUGGCUGGACAAAGAGGCUCCACCCUCUCACUCUCCCAGUUUGUUCCACAAAAUAAAGUCUCAAGUAGCUCACUGUUCCAAAAGUGACUUAAACCACUGGACAUCACCACCAUUCCCAACACAAAACCAUAGAUCUAAUACUAGGCCUAUGAAGAGUUAGUGUUUUUCCCAAGCAGUAAUUAUAAGGAAGGUGUACAGCCCUAACCUGUUUAUCAAGCUCCAGAUUCACAGAUAUAAAAACUAUCUGGCUAUGCCAGUGGGAUAUCCCAUGGGUACCUCCAAGUCGGUGUGCUCAAAUCUGAACUCAUAAUUUCUUCUUUCGAGACCAAACCUGCUUUCCACAUCUCAAUACAUUAGAGUACCUACUCUUUAGAUCUAAAGCCUGGGAAUUAUUCUUAAUUCUCUCCAUCCCCCCAGAGUCAGUAAGUCCUGCAGAUUUAACUUCACGAAUGCCUUUUAGCGGCCUUCUCCCCUCCUCCAGUCCUCUCCCCUCCUUCACGGCUACUGUCCUAAUUCAGGCCCUCAUUCAAAGGAGGUUAUCUUUUUGUAAUUCUACUAACUUUUAAAAGUUAAAAUAGUAUGUUGUUGCAAAUAGUGUAGUACAGCUUAUGAUAUUCUCUUUUCUUACCCCAUACCUGCAGGUACCCAGGGAUGACCUUCUGUGAAUGGUCUGCCUAGGUAUUCUGGUGGAUUCCUCCACAACUCCUUUUGAUAUUAUGUAGAUAUAAUACCUUUUAUCUUGACUUCAACAAGCCAAGAACAAUCUCUACUAUGAAAGAUGAAAAUUUAAUGUUGACUACCUUUCCUCCCUUCUCCCAGUGUUUGAUAUUCAUGUUAUUAUUAGUUAUUUUAUUGAUUACAUAUGUAAUUUUCAGUAACAGACUUAAACCUCUAUUUCUUGCUCCACCUACUUUGAACAAUCUGUUGACUACCUACUUUGUAAGAAGACAGAUAUUAACACUUCUGUCUUUGCCCUCUCAAUUCUAUCUUUUGUCAACUACAUGUUUAUGUUGUCAAAGUUGUAACAUUUACAUUCUGUUCUUUAGCCAAAUUAAUCUUCCAUGCUCUUCCUUCCAUAAUUUUUUAUUCUACAAUUAACAUUUUGAUGUGUUUGCUUUAGUACAGUAUUAAU